rnacentral:rRNA from 1 species
CCUACGGGUGGCAGCAGUGGGGGAUAUUGCACAAUGGGGGAAACCCUGAUGCAGCGAAGCCGCGUGGGUGAAGAAGUAUUUCGGUAUGUAAAGCCCUAUCAGCAGGGAAGAAAGAAGACGGUACCUGACUAAGAAGCACCGGCUAACUACGUGCCAGCAGCCGCGGUAAUACGUAGGGGGCGAGCGUUAUCCGGAUUCACUGGGUGUAAAGGGAGGGUAGACGGGCGGGCAAGGCAGGGGUGAAAGCCCGGGGGCCAACCCCGGUACUGCUCUUGGAACUGUGCGGAGGGAGUGCGGUGGGGGCAGGCGGAACUCCUGGUGUAGCGGUGAAAUGCGUAGAUAUCAGGAGGAACACCGGCGGCGAAGGCGGCCUGCUGGACCGCGACUGACGUUGAGGCUCGAAAGCGUGGGGAGCGAACAGGAUUAGAUACCCCGGUAGUC